rnacentral:rRNA from 1 species
CAAUACUGGUUGAUCCUGCCAGAGGCUACUGCUAUCGGAGUCCGACUAAGCCAUGCGAGUCGAGGGUGCUUCUUCGGAAGUAACCCGGCGGACUGCUCAGUAACACGUGGAUAACCUACCCUUGGGACUGGGAUAACCCCGGGAAACUGGGGAUAAUACCGGAUAGGUCGCCGAUGCUGGAAUGCGCGGCGACUCAAAGCUCCGGCGCCCAAGGAUGGGUCUGCGGCCGAUUAGGCUGUUGCCGGGGUAAUGUCCCGGCAAACCUGUGAUCGGUACGGGUUGUGAGAGCAAGAGCCCGGAGAUGGAUUCUGAGACACGAAUCCAGGCCCUACGGGGCGCAGCAGG